GUGCAAUUUGUGACAAUGGUGGUGCCCUUCUAUGUUGUGAAGGGAGUUGCAUGAGGUCAUUUCAUCCAACAAGACUAGAUGGUGAAGAGUCUAAUUGUGACACUCUUGGCUUUACACGGAGGGAAGUUGAUGCAAUUGAGAGGUUUUUGUGUAAGAAUUGUGAAUAUAAUCAGCAUCAGUGCUUUGCUUGUGGAGAGUUGGGCUACUCAAAUAAAUCUUCUGGUGCUGAGGUGUUUCGUUGUGCUAAUGCAACCUGUGGUCAUUUUUAUCACUCGCAUUGCAUUGCAAAAUUACUUCACCAAGAAGAUGAAGUUGCUGUUGGGGAGCUUGAGAAAAAAGUUGCUACAGGAGAGUCUUUUACUUGCCCCAUUCAUAAAUGCUACAUUUGUAAAAAAGGAGAGAAUAAGAAGAUAAAGGAGCUACAAUUUGCUGUAUGCAGGCGGUGUCCCACAUCAUACCACCGAAAAUGCUUGCCAAAGUAGUCUCUUUCCCAUUGUCAUAUACUUGUAUUCAUAUACAUUUAUACAUUAAUUGUAUAGGUGAUUCACGCCUGAAUGAUUUAUUAGGGAGAUAGUUUUUGA
rnacentral:misc_RNA from 1 species